rnacentral:rRNA from 1 species
UACACACCGCCCGUCACACCAUGGAAGUCUGUUGCACCAGGAGUCGGUAGUCUAACCGCAAGGGGGGCGCCGACCACGGUGUGGCCGAUGACUGGGGUG